rnacentral:lncRNA from 1 species
CAAAACGCUCUCCCUUCUCUCUAGAAUGGGAGAAAACCUCCAAAACUCAAACAAACCUGAUCCACCACCGAAGCCACCGGAUUGCACCACUCCAAGUGGUGGAAAAUCAUCACCAACAACCACCCAAACAUCUCCUAUAACACCAAUAUCAGAUUCAACCCCCAAGUCAAUAGAUCUAAGUUUGAAAAAUCAUGGCACGAAUCCCAAUGUCAUCGAAACACCCACUUCUGAUCAGAAUUUGGAUAUGGGACCACCACCAAUGAACUCAGAAGGUCCAAAAACCCCUGGGGUGGUGUCCUCGACGUCCAAUUUCGCCGGAAUUGAAACUUUGGAAAAAGUGCAGCCCGAAACUGAUUUUGAAAUUAAUUCUCGUAAGAAGCUCCAACAGAGACACGCGCCACAUAUUCAGAAUGCCCAUGAAAUGGCGAACCUUCGGUUAAAAAAUCACGGCAAUCAGAGGUCGGACGCUCCUGUUACGACACCAAACGUAAACGGACAGUUUGUCGAAAAAUUGCGAUUUUCGGCCUCUACGGUUCUCACCUCGGGAAACGCACCUGACCGCGUUAUUCAGCAUGAAAUUCCACACAAGACUGUUGAAAAUCAUAAAAUUCUGCCUCCGGUUGAUUUUGGCCGGAAAACGGAGCCGCUAGCGGCCGGCCGGCGGCAUUCCGGUGACCCUCCGACAACUUUUGUCCAAAAUAUUCUUCCAGUUAAUCUAAAUCCAUUUUCGUCAUCGAUUUUUCCACAUGAGGCCCAGACAGUGCUCAAUCAGGGCCGAAAGACCUAUGCUACUGCAGUUACUAGCCGUCCAAGCCUAUCUCAAGCUGAGCGGAGUUCACGGAAGUCGUUUACAUCGGUUAUACAUGGUAUAGAUGACUCUUCCACUGCUGGGUUUGCUGCUAAAGAACCCUUUAUACAUAUGGGUGAGCCGGCAGUGAUUUUGACUGAGUCCGAGGAGGCUACACUGGCUGAUCCUUACAAGUAUACACUUGUGGGGAAAUUUCCACAUCGCAAGCCAACCAUGAAGAAGAUACGUGAGAAUUUUUCUAAGUUUGGGUUCCAUGGUUGUUUCGAGGUGGGACUAAUUGACACAACACACAUUCUUAUACACCUUACACAUGAGGAGGAUUACAGCAGGCUUUUUCUUAAACCUUCAUGGUAUAUUGACGGUUGUCCAAUGAGAGUCCUUAAGUGGACAUGUGACUUUACACCUGAGCAAGAGACUCCGAUAGUUCCCGUUUGGGUAUCGUUCCCUCUGCUUCCAGUACAUUUACGUGCGAAGGGGUUCCUUUUCGCCUUAUCUAGGGCAAUAGGAAUGCCCUUGAGAAUUGAUGAGGCCACCACCGACUUGAGACGACCUAGUGAGGCAAGGGUGUGCAUUGAGGUGAAUUUGGGGCAUAAGUUGCCCGACAGGGUUUGGAUUGAGCGCGCUGAUAACCGUGGCUUUUGGCAGACAGUUAUCUAUGAGAAGCGGCCAAUUUUUUGCUUCUCUUGUAAACACUUGGGGCAUUCUUAUGAUCAGUGUACUACGGUUCCUCCUCCUCCUCCUACAGUUGUUGUGCACCCCCCUGUUCGACCCCCUAUUACUAGGACUGAUAAGGAUAAGGGCAAGGUGACGUUUGUGGAGCCAAAGAAGCAGUGGGUUCCAGUUUCAGCAGUGCCUUCUGUGCUUCCCACUACUACUACCGCAGUUGUGACAGAGUCAGAAUCUGCAUCGACAGUUCCUACCUCUACUCCUAUCACAGUUGAUCCAGAGAUACCUCCGUAUAUUCAUUCAGCUGCUGAGCCUACUCCAAAUGCUCCUAUCGAGGUACCCACUUCUCCUAUUAUUACUUCCAUAGCUCCUAUUACCACAGCUACUACUGAUGUACCCCCUGAGCCGACACAUAUGAGUUCUCCACCAUUGAAGACACACACAAAUGGUACUCAAUCAGCGCAGGGAUCAGGUACAGGGACAGUUCCUCAAACCACUCUUGCACAGGGGUUGUUGGCUGAGAUCAGCUCAGAGCGACAUGGUGUCAAGCAUAUGUUGAUUGAUCACUUUAAGAAGGACCAUGGAAUGAAAGUUGGAUCUACCAUGAGAUUUGCUAUUGAGGACUUGGUUUUUAAGCUCUUUGGAGAGGGACCUUCUGUGAGUAAGACUCCUACGCAGACACCUUCACCUAGUCCUUCUAUCACAGCUCCUACACACAAUAAGGUGAAAGAACAUAUACAGAGAGACAUGGAUGGCAUGGGCCUUGGAAACUGCAUGCAAAAUGCGGAAGACGAUGUCCCUACAGCAAGCAGGUCAAUCUCCCACGAUUCAGAUGUCGUAGCACAGAACGCCAUGAGAUUAGACACACCUACGACUAGUACAAUGAGAUCAGAUGCACCCGCUUUUCGCCCGACAUUCAGUGCACCACUAUCCGAACAGUACUUAUCACCAAAGCAGCCUCCUACACGCAGGCGAGACCCCUCUCCAACGAGCGAGCCAGACAUCGCAGACUACUAUGAUCCAGAAAUGUUUCAAACCAGACGCAUGACCCGAUCAAUGUCUAUGUACUACCACCCGAAGAUUUACCCUCGGGAAUACCCAUGAGUACCUUUCAUUAGUUUUUGUUCGUGUCUUGUUUACUGUGAUUGCAUUUUAUCUUCAGAUAUUUGUUACAAUUUACAUUUGCUGGAGGUCAGGUCCAUGCCCCCCUCCUCUCUUUGUUUUCCCGCUUUUCAUUAUAUA